CACAGGCUGGUCCCGUCCCUGUUGGCACUUUGGCUGCUACCCUGGGCACUGGGCACUAAUCAGACAUUUGUCCAACCCCUUCUCCUGACCUUGGUCAGUAGAAAUGCAUUUAUUGGUCCUUGGGCUGCCCAUCUCUGAGUAACCAGGGGGCAGAGUCACCCAGGAACAGCCCACAAAGAAUCUCCAAGGGAUCUCUACAGAGUUCAGCUGGAAUUAUUUACAGAAUCCCAGGAGGGACUUCCUCUCCCAAGACCAGAAAGAAGCCAGCAUGGGUCCUGCUGAUCUGAUCCUGUGUUUCAGUAAUGUUGGCAAACACCUGGAGUAUAUUCAAGAAGAGCUGGAAAAGUAUCUGGAGAAGCUAAACCAUGUCUUCUUCGACACAGAAGCCAGAAAAAGGGAUGGCCACCAUGAUCAGAAGUCCCUCCAUUGCAGAAGUGCUGAUGUUAUGUCAGAAACUAAGGAACACUCAGGAAAGGAGGCCUGAAGCAGCUGUUCAGCCUGAGACUGUGUCACAAUCCCUGGUACAAGUGGGAGUCGUGAUGGUUCCUUAACUGAUCUCUGAGUGCAAAAACAACACAGAGGGGAUUUCAAUAUUAAUCAAAACAAAUGCACCGUUUAUUGAAUGACCACAGCAAAUGCGACAGAAGGAUGGAAAAGGAGAGAAAGAAUAGAGAGAGAGAAAGGGUGGGGGGAGAGCAUAGCUACCAACAGAGAGACAAAAAAUCCUCGUGGUCCAGCCAAUAGAUCCGUCUGGUCAUGCUGGGGAGAAUCUCAAAGUCUUUGGUCAACUCGGGUUAACUCUUCUGCCAGGAGAGGAGCAGGAUGGUACAUCCAGGGAGCAGGCACAGGACACCUGAAUAACAAUUCCCUUGAGAACAAGGCCAGACUGUCCAGUUCCAAACAGGACAAACCAGUCCCACAGUGAGCAGGUCCAGCAAACACAGCUGCAGGCAGCACUGGGCAGACAUCCCACUCCAGUCAGCCCAGUGCCCCUGUUGAGGGUCUCAGUCCUUGGGAGGGGGGGGCUUCAUGAGGCAGAUGAGGGAUUUUCCAUGGGGGAUCACCAAAGUUACCCCAGAAAGUCAAACUUUCUCCAAAGUGGGUGGCAUUUGGCCAGGAAAUGGAGAAAUUCAUGGGCUAUUGUGAUGAGCAGGGAUCGUGAAGCAGCUGCAAGACUGUGGUGACAGAGCAAGCACACCUGCAAACAAUCACUUGGGAAGCAUCCAUCUCAACCAGGCCAGAACUGCAGUCAGGGUCCUCAGGGUCUGAGUCUCUGUCCUUGGGAUGGUCAUGAGGCAAAUGAGAGAAUCUUCAGACUGUCUCUUACAGACAGACACUGCUUGGAGCUGUGGCUGGUAAGUGUCCUCCCAGCACACACUGCCUGUUUUAUAUCACUGAAGGGGUGAAGUGGCCACAGCCUGUGACACCUCUCUGCUGACAGUUCUGUUCAUCCAUCAUGUCCCAUGGAUCAAGGAGCUGCAGAGCACAAGGGCUGCCUGACAUCCUGGGGGUCCUGGUUGGCAGCCGGCUGAACGUGAGCCAGCAGCGAGCCCUGGGGGCCAGGAAGGCCAACGGCUCCUGGUCUGGAUCAGGAAUGGAUCAUCCUGCACCAACAGCCUGUGGCAGGAAUGCUGUGGCCAGCAGGAGCAGGGAGCUCAUCCUUGCCCUGUACUCAGCACUGGGGAGGCCACAGCUCGAGCGCUGUGUCCAGCUCUGCGCCCUCAGUUUGGGAAGGACAUUGAGACGCUUGGGCACAUCCAGAGGGGGCAACGAGGCUGGAGAGGGGCUGGCAACACUGAAGGCCUCUGAGGAACCACUGAGGGAGCUGGGGGUGCUCAGCCUGGAGAAAAGGAGACUCAGGGGUGACCUUAUCACUCUCUACAACUCCCUGAAAGGUGCCUGUGCUCAGCUGGGGUUGGUCUCUUUCACCAGGCAGCACUGACAGAACCAGAGCACACAGAUUCAAAUUGCACCAAGGGAAAUGCAGGUUGGAUAUUAGAAAAAAGUUUUUUAUGGAAAGAGUGAGAAAGUUCUGGAAUGUUCUGCCCAGGGAGGUGGUGGAGUCACCAUCCCUGGAUGUGUUUAAAAAAGCCUGGAUGUGGCACUGGGUGCCAGGGUUUGGUUGAGGUGUUGGGGUUGGGUUGGACUCGAUGAUCUUUGAGGUCUUUUCCAACCCAGUAAUUCUGUGUGAUUCUGUGAAUUCUCUGAACCUCUGGCUGUGCUUUGCCUUGCACCAUAUCUCCUGAUGGGUUGGAGUCACAGCAUGUGCCUUUUCCUCCCCGAUUGUUCCUGCUUGGAGCUGCCAGAGGAUAGGCUGAACGCACCUGCCUGCAUUGCCCACCCCACAGGGCUCCCACCUCAGCCCUAGGGUUGUGUGGUUCCCUGGGUAUGAUCUGUUUACCAGCUUUGGACUCUCUUGGUGCUGUCAAGCACAGUCUCUGUGAGAGCUGCAGAGCUGGCAGAGGGUUUGUUUGGUCCAGGGCUUUCUGGAGCCACUCAGAACCAGCAUUCCAGAAGUGUCAUCACUGUUGUCCUCUCUCUUCACGUGACAUUGGUGCUGAGUAGACACCUUCUUUCCCACCAGGAAACCCUGUCAGGGCUUGCUCCUGCUGCUCCUCCUCCCAGAGUCACUGCCUACAUCCCAUUCUUGCAGUCUUCAGACAGGUCUCAUUCCCUUUUCCUUUGGUCCCAUUCCCUUUUCCUUUCUGUUUUCCAACAGCUCCAUCUUCCACAGUAGCUUGCAGGAGUAGUGCCCUGCAUCCCUCCUGGAGAAGGCCUGGAGUGAACCAAGGGCUUUGGUGGGGUACAUAGGAAGGGGAUUGAGAUAUCUUUAAAGGUUCCCAUCCACCUGGAUGAGGGGAUCACUUGGUGUUGCAGUUCUUCGCAGCCAAGGCAAAAAUUUUUGCUUGUGCCAAGGCCAGGCCAGGUACAUUUGCUGUUUCUUGGGGAUAAAUAUCUCAUUUUGUUUUAGGACAACUGCAGUCUCCAUCCACCCAGGCACUCACUGACUGGAGAUAGAUGGCUCCACAGCAAGCCCUUCCCCGCUCCUCUCAGCAGCCAUUGCUUUCCACACAGCCCAUGGCACUAAGAGAAGAGGUGAUGCCAAAAAAGAGGAGGCAGCAUCCCACGAAACACCAAAGCUCUGGCCUGGCCGGCCUCUUUGGCCCAUUUGGUGCAGUGGUUGCCUGUCCCAGGCCAUCCAAAGCUAUCCCACAGCCUGGGACUGAUUCAGGCUGCCUGGCUUGGCCUUUCUGGCUAAGAGGACACAGGGUUUGUGUGAACCCUGGUGGAAUCAGGGGUGGGCAUUGUUCCCGCUCUCAGGGAAAAUCCCAAAUCUGUCACCUUUGGCUCCAUUCAUGUCUGUGAACAGAGAGGAAAGCCAGACUGUGCUGGUGCUGAGCAGAGCUGCACAUCCUUUGUCAGAGCUUUUGUACCUGUUGAGUGGUUCUCCAAAGACCCCUCCUACGCAGCAGCAACAGGAGGUCAGAGUAGUUGGCUGUGUCACUGGGAGGCUGUGACAGGUGCUGAAGGGGGGAGAAGAGCCAAUGCAGAUGGUAGAAGAGUUCUGGGCUGCUGAUCCACCCCAUUGCCCUGCUGAGCCCCCAGUGCCACAUCUGCUUGGGUUUUUAAUCUGUCCAGGGAUGGGGACUCCACCACUGCCCUGGGCAGCUGUGCCAGUGCUUUACAAUUCCUUCUGUGCAGAAAUUUUCCCAAUAUGCAACCUAAACCUCCCGUGAUGCAGGUUGAGGCCAUCUCUUCUGUCCUGUCCCUGGUCCCUGGGAGCAGAGCCUGACACCCACCUGGCUGCCCCCUCCUGUCAGGGAGUUCUGCAGAGUUGAGAAGGUCCCCACUGUGCCACCUUUUCUUCAGGCUGAGCCCCUCCAGCUCCCUCAACUAUUCCUGCAUUCCUAUUCCUAUCAGACUUGUGCUCCAGAGCAUUCCCCUUUCUCUUCUCUGGACACACUCCAGCCACUCAAUGUCUUUCACAUCACAAGAGAUUCAUCUAUUUGAUGUCAUUGUCCUUUCUGCCUCUGUGCCAUGACCUGGCAGAGGUGGGAGCAGAGCCUUCCUGAAAGCUGGUACAGGGAUGCUCCUCCACGAUGAAUGUGGAGGCUUCAGUCUCUGCUUUGGCCCCUGACUGUCCUUGGUGUUCUGGGCUGAGGUGUGAGUUCUGUGGGAGUCCUGCCCUUAGCACAGAUGAGUGGGAGCAGAGAACUCUGCCAGUUAAGAGUCCCUGGGCUGGCAGAAAGGCGCACAAAGGAGCAUCCACUGCCCUUUCCAUGGCACAGGUGCCAGGGAGAGCCUGUGGGAAGCACAGCACCAAUUUGUGUUGUCUGCUGAGGGAAGAAAAUGGCUCCCAGCAGGGCUCUCAAUUCAUGGCUGGGGAAGGAAGAAGGUUGAAGUGGAUAAAUAAUAAGGAUUUCCUCAAUUUCAUCUAGAAUAGAUGCAAGUAACCAGCAUAAAGAUACUGAAAAUAGCCUUCAGGUGGACAGUAAUAGCUCACUCUCAAGAGCUCUUGGGGCAGGAGGGGUGGGUUCCAUAGGAAGGAAAGGUAUGGGCCACACUUCACCUGAGGCAGCAGAUCCUGCUGGAGGGACAGUACACCCCAGAACCGGGCUGAUCAGCUUGGCAGCAUUGCCUGUGUUCCGUGGGACACGAUCAGUCACCAGUUUUCAUUCACUGCCUUCUCUCAUGGCAGCGCCAGAGGCAGAGCCAGCCCUGGUGGGUGCUGCUGCUCGGGGCAGUCCCUCACAGAAGGGGACAGGAACAAGGGAAGGCUGCAGCUCAUGCGCCGCUGUCCCUGCGGGCCGUCCGGGCCCUGACAGCCGAUCCCGGGCUGGGAGCAUCUCCUGGCGGUGGCUGUAAAGCCCCACUGGGGCCUCACACCUCAGCCCCUCACUGUGCACCCCCUGCCCAGCUGUCAGAGCCCGCAGGGGACAGGCCAGCAGCCCCCGGUGCUGUGCUGUGGGCAGCCAGAGCAGCGCUCCUCGGGCUCGCUGACUGAGGGGUCUGCAGUGCAGAGCAGCCACAGCAUGAAAUGGUCCCGUACCUGCAGGGCGGGACCUCGGGGAAUGUGUGUCCUCGGCAUCUGCAUGUGCAGCAGAGUGGGCUCAUUGCUUGUACAAAAUGUUUGGAUCAAAGCUAAUAAACACUAAGCUCUGUGCCCACACCCCUUCCUGAGCGGAGCUCCCUCCCUGUCCUGUGCCGUGUGCCACCAGCAGCUCUGCCGUGGCACCCCAGCAGCAGGAGGAGGCACCCACGGUCAAAGCUGACCAUCCAAUGUGACACGGCCAUACCCUGCACACCCUUGGUGCUGCUGAGCCGCGGGGAGCACCCACAGCCGAGCACCCAGCCCCAGCAGGCUCAGGGCGGUGCCGUCACCGUGGGGCCCGAGCCCAUCCCUGCCAUCUCCUGAGCCCAGCAGUGACACCCCACAUGUCAAGGGUAAGAGUGUGGGCAGGGCACAGUGCACCGUGCUGGACACACACUUGGCCAAACAGCCCCAGGGGCUUUGCUGGACAUGGUUCUGCUCUGGCUGCUCCUGCAUAGGUCCCUCCAGUGUCCCCCAGCUUCAGCAGCACCAACAGGUGAUCCUGCUUUUCCCUGUGCACUCAGAAUCAGCCAUCUCUGAUAUCCCCACAAUAAGAUCUUCCACCCCAUCACCUCAACAAAGCAGCUUCCUCUGCUGAGGGGAUAUUUCUGUCAUGGGAAAAAUCUUCCCUUGUACAGUAUUUUCCUGGAUUUCCUGUUUUUAACAGCCUGACUGGCACAGCUUGUUCAGAACACAGGUAGGAGACACAUUCCAGCAGUGAGAUGUGUUGUCCUAGUGAAGAGGUUGAAGGUUUGGCAGGGCUGUACAUGCUCAGCUCUCUGAGUCCUGCUUGCCCUGGAGGUUGGGGAGCACAGCCAUAACUGUGCCCAGCCCACCCAGCAGACACGGACCCCACCAAGCAGUGAGACCUGCAGCUUUCCUCCUGGGGCCUGCAUGGCCCAGAGCUGCCCUGCCCUGCAGAUCCACCUCCCAGCCAGACUGAGCACAGGGGCAAUUUUGGCAUUGUUUUGUGGAGAAAAGUGCCCCACAACUUUGUGAAAGUUGUAAAGCCAGUAUGUUUAUUACAGCGCUAAACGGAGAUUGCUCUCCUCAAAAAAAGACAUGCAUACCUCUGAGAACUUCAGGUCUCUUUUUAUCUCUCUCUCAAAUAUAUAUGCAUACAGUUUCACAA